UGGAGCACGUGAAAUUCCGUGUGAAUCUGCGAGGACCACCUCGUAAGGCUAAAUAUUCCUGAAUGACCGAUAGCGAAAACAGUACCGCGAGGGAAAGGUGAAAAGAACCCCGGGAGGGGAGUGAAAAGAACAUGAAAACCAUAAAACUUACAAGCAGUAGGAGGACGACUAAAACGUCUGACUGCGUGCCUGUUGAAGAAUGAGCCGGCGACUUAUAGGUAGUGGCAGGGUUAAGGUAGUGAAUACCGAAGCCACAGUGAAAGGCGAGCCCUGAAUAGGGCGUUUGUCACUAGUUAUAGACCCCGAACCCGGGAUGAUCUAACCAUGGUCAGGUUGAAGCUUGGGUAAUACUAAGUGGAGGACCGAACCGACUGAUGUUGAAAAAUCAGCGGAUGAAUUGUGGUUAGGGGGUGAAAUGCCAAUCGAAUUCGGAGCUAGCUGGUUCUCCCCGAAAUGCGUUUAGGCGCAGCGGUAGAUGUUAUAAUUUAGGGGUAAAGCACUGUUACGUAUGCGGGCUGGUAAUUCGGUACCAAAUCGUUGC
rnacentral:rRNA from 1 species